CUUAGACACAUUUAUAAAACACAUUUAUAUGCCAGGCACAGCACACAGAAAUAAGGAGUAUCGAAAGAAAGGACACACUGAUAACGCUUUGCACAUCGCCACAUAUUUUGAGGGCAAGCAGAUAAAAAACUGAAGCACUCUUUGUGCUCCAAUUCAAGGCCACGGGCCCAGGUGGAGAUUGAUACUGACCAACACUAGACAAGAUACAAUAGUGUGCUGUUAGCUUUUUUUCCUUCCACAGGGCGCUGACCAGAAGCUGAAGCACCAAGAGGCUAGGACUAGCCUGCGUGCCUACGUAAUGGGCGGGCCGAGUCUAAACCAUGGUGCUGCCCCAACAGUUUUUGACCAAUCAGAUAAUUGCACAUUCAUAUUAUAAAACUCUGUGUAAAAGUAAGUUAGGGAUCCUUUUUCUGGGAGGUGGUUACAGCUAACUGCUUUGCAGCCUGUGAUUUCUGAACAGAGAAGGUCGAUGUACAUCAUUUACUCUUUCAUUAUUGUCUUAAAUAAAUAGUCAAAAGGAUUUUACUCUCCUCUCAUCCGUUCUGCAAAAAAAAAAACGAACUCUAACAAUUGGUGCCGAAACCCGGGAUUACAGUGCAGUAAAGGACCUGAGAGGAGAAUUGGGAAAUCCGGACUGGAGUUUUCUGUCUGGGACCGGACAUCGUUCUCCGGCGACCCUCCAUUCACUCACUGAGGAUCCUCAGAUAAAAGGCUUUGUGAGGACAUCAGACUCUGCACACAUACACACACACAAGCAGGGAGAGAAGACAGACAGCAGAUAGCAGGAAGACACACACACACACACACAGCCCUUCACAAGACACUCUGACCUUACGUCAUACAUAAACACACACACAAGAAACUAGCAGGCGAGGUGGAAAUGGCAGAGACAGAGACAGAGAAAGGCAGCCUAGUUCCUUCUGAACUCAGGUUAAAGGAGUUUAACACAUUACAGGAGUUUAAAGCAGGGGCAGUGGAGGAAGCUGACAGACGAAGCAACUCAGAUUUAGAUAAAUCAUGGACAGAAAAAAGGCAGGUGAGCUACAGACCGCCACACCUGGUCCCCUGGUACAUGACAGCUACCCUACGCCCCCCUUGCCCCAAACUGAUCCAGGGCAAGCACCAGUCCAACCUCUGGAACCACUGCAGCCUCCUGCUAGAGGGGUAAGGCCAAGACCGGGCUGGUCGAACGCAUGCUUUCUUUGUGGGCAGCCAGGCCAUUGGAGCAGAACUUGUCCCCUGACACAUCGCCCUAGGAGAGGUAGAAGUAGGGGGCUUACCCCUAAGGAGAGCAGAAAACCCCUUCACUAUCUGACAUUUCUGCACAUUGGGCACAACAAAAAAUUAAAUUGUUUGAUUAAGGAUAUUCUCUGACCGCCAAAAUGUAUGAUAGUAAUUGCAUAAAACUGUUAAAAUUAACGGGAGUGUGAUCACAUGUAAAGUUUGAAAACACAUAGACUCACAUAAGGGGAGGGUGAACAAAUGUCCUAGAAUGAUACAAUUGGAAAUAUAAAGACAUAAAAUUCAUCUUAUAAAUGAAUUGCCUCUGCACAGGUUGUCUACCAAAACUAUAGAACAUACUAUAUGUGUUAUAGAUGCCUUGUGUGGAGAUACCAUGCGAUUAACUAUUUUCCUUCAUAAACAGCAGAAGAGAGAAUCUCCUGUGGAGCGGGAGAGAUUAAGCUCUUGUGAGGACACAACGACAAGUUUGUUAUUUUUCAUGUGAAUGUGGGGAGGGUUUCACUACUUGAAAGAUAUUUUUACUGUGUGAAUGAAGUGUAUCGAGAAGUUUUAGACUGAUCGAGAAUUCCUACAUUGAUCACAGAUCUCAAGUAGCUUUGUAUUGUUGGGCACUGGAAUAGAAAGAAGGGAAUUUUAGUGUAUGGUGUUAUGGAGGAUUGGUGAAUUAAAACAAGUGAGUAAGACUGAGAGAACUCCCAGCAGUCAAGCGCACAGGGACAUCAAGCUCCUGUGUAGAAGAUUCUUGACUGGGUCCCCUCACUUGGGCACUGCGCCAUUCACAAACCUCUGAUAGCAUGUGUACAAACAUUUUAAAAUGUCUAAUGUCUAAAAAACGUUGAUAAAUGGCAGGAAUGGUAAGUGAAGAGACAUUUUUUAGAAAUUGUCAGCACUUUUUAUGAGCAGAUACAAGACUAACUUUUUCAAGAGAUACAGAGGAAGCCACAAGAUAACACUCCUCUGUCUUACACAGAGCAGGCAUAGCAGCCUGUUCACUUCAUGCCCCCCCGCACUACUCAGAAGCCUCUCUAAGAUGUAGAUGUAAGAAACAGCUUUGAACUGGACAUCCAAUUAUAUAGCUAAGUAACUAUAGAAGAAAGUCCCACUUCAUUAAAUCUGGUAUAGGAUAAUGUGUGAAUACACAGAUUUUAAGCCUUCUGAUUUUCAAAGAUUACAAACUUUAUGAGUUAGAAAAUAAACUGUGAGUAUUUUCCAAGGGGAAAUUUAGUUUAAAAAUGAAGGACUUUACUGUGAUUCACUUAAAUAAUAGGAGUCUUAACAAUAACUUAACUAAAAUAAAGGUUACCUUCAAUAUUAUCAGAAAAAAAAAAAAAAAAAACUAGCUUGAUAAUUCACAAACAAAACUAAUGAUCACUUGAAAACUGCUGAAUUUGUUAGUAAUUUGUUGUAAUGUUUAGUUUGGGUUUACACCCAUUAAUUUUAAAAAGCCCAGUAGAAUAAUUAAUGGUAGUGCAACACUAAUUUAUAGGCCUAAUAUUUUUUAGAAAUAUAACUGAUACGAAGAUAAACAGUAGAUUAGUGACUGAUAGAUAGAGUAAAAUCACCAGAAGCCAUUUUUGCUCUUAAAGCAGACUUUAUGGUUGGCAUGAAGUAUGCUUGGAGGAUGUGGGUGGGGUUUGUGUUGUUUGGUGGUAUCGGGCCAGCAGUUGCAUACAGUUGAAGUUGCAUAGUUUUGAAAUUGGGAAAGUUUGGGAGAUGGGGUUUUUGGGAGGAAUUACAGUAGGUGAAUAUGCUGAAGGCUACAUAUAGAAUGUAUUUACAUCACAUAGGUUUUACCAGAGAAAAUGUUUAAUUUAGAAUUAUAAUAAGUGGAGUAAUGAAGAAUUAUUUUUAAUUAUUAUUAUUAUUUUAUAGUCACACAUUAAAGCUGUUUAUGGAUUUCCAAACGCCUGUGCAAUGAAGAAAGCUUGCUGCUCAACUGCAACGAAGUAACAGCUUACACAUUUGUGCAUACAUACAGUUUGUGUUGAUUGUGAUAUCAAAUCAAAAAUCUGUUUGUGUUGUGUCUCGGGGUGGUGCUGGCCUGCAGUUUGGGGGCCUGUUUGGCUGAGCGUCACUACAGAGCUGUAACACAAAUCAGAGACAGUCCUACCUGCGUUUGAUUGACAUGAUGAGAUCAUGUCAACAGGGGGAUAUUGUUAUAUUUGGAUAAUUAUAAUGCUGUGCAGAGAAAAUGUAACUUUCCACUUCACUCGUGUUAUAUCUGAAUAAUGAUAAGAAGACAGAAUAGCCAAUGUGUUUUUCUCCACUGUAGUUUUUUUUAUAGGCCUGAGACAGUAGUAUGGUUCUCACAAUAUAUUAUAUUGUUUAGGUUUUGUAGCUCAUAGAUACACCUUUAAUACAAACAGCACAGUAAGACAACUAGCUCUGACUCAGUGGCCAGUGACUCAGUUUUCAUUCUCCCAGCAGGAUUGGGAGGAGUUUUGCACCUUAGUUUCAAAUUAAUAGAUGGGAACUUAUGAGAUUUGUUAGCCUAACAGUCACAGCCUUGAAUGCUUCCAGACAUCAACUUACCGCCCUAUCCUCCAACAUCGUAUGGUGUUAGAUAUAUUGACAGCCAGCUCAGGUGGCGUGAGUGCUGUCAUAGUUAAGACGUGUUGUACCUAAAUAGAUGAAGAAGAAGAUUACACCAAUGUGCACUUUAAAAACUAAUUUAUAGGACCUUAAGUCAUUACUUGAAAAUAUAUAUUAGAUUUUUUACUUGUAAUUGUUAUUUAUUUAGUUUGGAUGACACACAAAUUAUGCCUAUUGAUCAAUAUACUAUCAUGUCUUGUGUCAGUUCUUCUCAUCUGAGUCAUAGUCUAAUCAUGUCUAGCUAAUGUUGCCAACUGGCUCCGGUAAUAGCCACUGCUUGCUAAGAGGCUAGGCCUCCAUUUUGGCUUGUUUAUUUGACAUGUUGCAAACCAGUCGUUUUAUGUAGGGGCAGUUUUAUUUUUCCUAAAUUUCGUUUUAUUUUAUUUUUUUCCAAAUUCCGUUUUUUUAACCUCUUCAAACUGAAAGUCCCCUGUACAGGGGCAGCAUGAGAUGCAUGCACAAUACAGAUGAUCUGCGUCUGCUGGGAAGCACCAAUCCUAACAUGAAGCACACCAAAAUGUCGGGGAGAAACUCAGCUGAAAACCUCUACCAAGCAUUGUCACCCAAAUGAAACAUGGUUCAAUCCCCAAGCAAUUAUAUGAGCAUGUAACAAAAAUUUGAAAACAGGCCAUGUCCACUUUAGUGCUGCUGCUAAUUUCACCACUUCAACCAAACCACACAAACGGUGCGUAAUACCCUGUGCACCCUCAAGGGGCUGAAUGUGAGAAUGUAUAGAGGCCUAAAAAACAGUUGUAUUUGGAUGGAAUUAAUAAUCAUAGUGAUAAAUAAGUGAAAUAGUAUUAAUUUUCCAGUCUGGUACCUGAAAAAGGUCAAAUGGCACAUGUGGUAUCCGCCUGGACAUACCUGUAUUAAAACUUCUGUUACUUAGAAAAGGUAAUUCACAAUACUCAAAACAGUUAAGCAGUUGGCUUAACUUAAAUAUUCUAGUGGAAAACGUUAACACAUAUUUUUUGUUUUUGAUUUUGGUGACCCAAUGUUUUAUUUAUAAGAGUGUGUAGAGAGAUACCAGCUGGUCAUCAAUGAGAAGGUUAGAAGCUCCAAGUCACAACGGAUGGCUUGAACAGAGAAUACAAAGGAUCAGCUGAGUUUUUUUCUCUCUCUCUCCCUCUUUCCUUCUCUCUCUCCUUCUCUCUCUCUCUGCUUCUCUCUCCUUCUCUCUCUCUCCUUCUCUCUCUCUCCUUCUCUCUCUCUCUCUCCUUCUCUCUCUCUCUGCUUCUCUCUCCUUCUCUCUCCCUCUCUCUCUCUCCUUCUCUCUCUCCUUCUCUCUCCCUCUCUCAUUCUCUCUCUCUCCUUCUCUCUCCCUCUCUCUAUCUCUCACUCUCUCUCCUUCUCACUCUCUCUCUCUCACUCAUUCUCAACUACUUUUUGUAAAUAAGUUAAAACUUAGAUAUGCUUGCCAACUAAAAAACAAACCCCCGACAGUCCCUACAGAAAAAUUGGUUUGUUACACCUUAAAAGGUGUAAAAGGAGGGAGUUAUAACUUUCCCUCCACUAGGGACAAAAUUGGUUUGUUACACCUUAAAAGGUGUAAAAGGAGGGAGUUAUAACUUUCCCUCCACUAGGGACAAAAUUGGUUUGUUACACCUUAAAAGGUGUAAAAGGAGGGAGUUAUAACUUUCCCUCCACUAGGGACAAAAUUGGUUUGUUACACCUUAAAAGGUGUAAAAGGAGGGAGUUAUAACUUUCCCUCCACUAGGGACAAAAUUGGUUUGUUACACCUUAAAA